rnacentral:RNase_P_RNA from 1 species
AAAGUUUGACAGACAAUCGCUGGUGGCUUCGCGCCACGAGAGGAAAGUCCGGGCUCCAUAGGGCAGGAUGCUGGAUAACGUCCAGUCAGCGCGAGCUGAAGGAUCGGGCCACAGAAAUGGACCGCCGAUGGCCUUAUCCCGAAAGGGAUAAGGAUCAGGCAAGGAUGGAACCGUGGUGUAAGAGACCACGAGGAGCACUGGUGACUUUGUUCCUGGUAAACCCCAUCUGGAGCAAGACCUAGGAGAACGUCGCGGCCGCUUGCGGCUGCAGCCCUUGCCCGGGGUGCGUUCGGGUUGGUCGCUUGAGCCGUUCAGCAAUGGACGGCCUAGAAAGAUGAUUGUCGCUUCCAUACGUGGGAGGAUGGCGCAAGCUGUCCGCGAUACCACCGGAAGUACAGAACCCGGCUUACGGCAAUCUUUCCGG